UCAAAAAGAGGAAGAAUUCAUGCAAACAAAAUCAAGAACAGACAGGUAUAAGGGAGGAGAGAGUGGAGCAGAGAGAUGGAGCCCCAAAGGGCAUCGACUACCACACCAUCUGAUCUCUCUCUUCUGUUCUCCACUCCGCUUCGGUUCGCCAGUGAGGAGCGUGGGAAUAAAGAAUCCCCUCACACACACACAAACGCACCCCCACCACACUCACACUCACACGAGAGUAAUCCAGCGUGCGAGUGAGAGGGGAAACGAUCACAAAGGAUGGAAAGAAGGUGAUGCGACAAGGAUGGAGCUAAACAAGGAAGAAAAAUGGGGGAGAGACUAGAGAUGAAAAGGCGUAAAGUGGAAAAGUGGAGUGGGGAAAUCGGACAAUAGCUUAACCCUUUAUUGGAUCGCUUUUCCUACCCCAACCCCAGUUGUGUCUGGGGUCUGGGCUGAUAACGAAAAUACAAAAACGUCUGUAUAAAUUGCCAACAAGGCCAUUCUCAUGGGAAAAUCUGUUAAGAAGCCCCCAUCAUUUCUCCCCAAAAGUGACUCAGUUGGAAAAAGUUGUGAAGUGAUGAUGACGCAUUCGUCGGUUUGGUUUCGUUUUCUAUAGCUAUCCAAAGACUUAAACACUAAAUAGAGUUCCAAGAACACAUCGUCGACAGCCAGAUAACUUAAAACUUAUGGAGAAAAAUGUAUUUUCACCUGGGCAUAUCUGACAAAUGGUUAAAUACGUAGUAUAUAGACUAUUUUGACAGACUGUUUUUAAAUUUCUAUAAAAACUUUCUUCCUAAUAUCCUUAUUUUCUUUAAAAA